AAAGGGCUGAGCUGCCAUGCAGAAAUCCCAGUGCCAGGGAGAGAAAUCAUUACACAUGACGAGCACUUGUCUUGGAUUCGCUGGCGGGAGCGUGGGGAGAAGGCAGCCCUCGAGUUGGGAGUUUCCACGUGCCACACUGCGUGCCAGAGGCUGGAGGAAGCACGACAGGAACUCUGGAACAGUGCUGUCCACUCCUCGGGAGGCUGGCCACGUGAGAAGGAGGAAGCUGCAGCAUCAACCAGGAUUGAAAAGUCAGAUUCUAGACUUGAUUCCUGUUAAUUGGGUCCUAUUAAUUGGACUCAGUUAAUAGGAUGGGUUUUGGCAAUGAAAAAGAUGCCUUGGCAAGGAAGGAUGUGAAGAGAGAUACUCUCAGAAUCGGACCCUGGAAGGGAACUCAAGCUGUGGC